ACGUAGGGUGCGAGCGUUAAUCGGAAUUACUGGGCGUAAAGGGUGCGCAGGCGGUUCUGCAAGUCAGGCGUGAAAUCCCCGGGCUUAACUUGGGAAUUGCGCUCGAAACUACUUGGCUCGAGUGUGGCAGAGGAAGGUGGAAUUCCACGUGUAGCGGUGAAAUGCGUAGAGAUGUGGAGGAACACCGAUGGCGAAGGCAGCCUUCUGGGCCAACACUGACGCUCAUGCACGAAAGCGUGGGGAGCAAACAGGA
rnacentral:rRNA from 1 species